rnacentral:lncRNA from 1 species
UUUCACUGCUAUGGCAACAGUCUGGUGGUAGGGCUCAGUGGGAGACGGCCGUGUGAUUUAUUGACAAGGGCUCGCUGUCCUUGGGGUGAGCAGGCCAAGGAUGUCAGUCUUACACCCCGGGGUUUGAGCAGAGAUCCAUGUAGAGUGGAGAAUUCCACACUGAAAUAAAUGAAUAAUCUCAUAAUAGAAAGGCUUCUGGAUAGCAGGC